rnacentral:rRNA from 1 species
UUGAACGCUGGCGGCAGGCCUAACACAUGCAAGUCGAACGGUAACAGGAAGAAGCUUGCUUCUUUGCUGACGAGUGGCGGACGGGUGAGUAAUGUCUGGGAAACUGCCUGAUGGAGGGGGAUAACUACUGGAAACGGUAGCUAAUACCGCAUAACGUCGCAAGACCAAAGAGGGGGACCUUCGGGCCUCUUGCCAUCGGAUGUGCCCAGAUGGGAUUAGCUAGUAGGUGGGGUAACGGCUCACCUAGGCGACGAUCCCUAGCUGGUCUGAGAGGAUGACCAGCCACACUGGAACUGAGACACGGUCCAGACUCCUACGGGAGGCAGCAGUGGGGAAUAUUGCACAAUGGGCGCAAGCCUGAUGCAGCCAUGCCGCGUGUAUGAAGAAGGCCUUCGGGUUGUAAAGUACUUUCAGCGGGGAGGAAGGGAGUAAAGUUAAUACCUUUACUCAUUGACGUUACCCGCAGAGGAAGCACCGGCUAACUCCGUG